CUCAAAGUGGUAGAGUGCUAGCCUUAAGCAGAAAAGUCCUGAGACAGUGCUCAGGCCCUAAGUUAUAAGCCCGAUGACCAACAAACAUAAAAAUAAAAGACAUAUACUAAACAAGCACGGAAAGAAAACACUUUAUGAAGAAAUGGCAGCCGGGGCGGGGUGGGGGGGGGGGGUAGGUCCACUAAAAAGUUCACAUCUGAGCAAAGGGCCAGGGGAAGUAAGAGUCAGCCAUGAGGCUAUCUGGAGUAAAGUGUUCCAAAUGGAGAAAACUGGAGGGGCAAAGGCCCUGAAACAGGAAACGCCAAGUGUAUCUGAGGAAGAACGAGGCCAGGGUGGCUGGAACAAAGUGCAGGGUGGGAAGGGCAGCCAAGGACGCAGAAGCACAGAGAGCCGGGUCAUAGACUGGGCUGUCCAACAUGGCGGCCACAGGCCAAGUGAGUCAGCACCGACUGAGCUGGGCUGCACACCAGAACCACAGCGCCGCU